UACGUAGGAUGCAAGCGUUGUCCGGAAUUAUUGGGCGUAAAGAGCGCGCAGGCGGUAACUCAAGUCAGAUGUGAAAUAUCCGGGCUUAACCCGGAGGGGUCAUUUGAAACUGAGUAACUAGAGUACAGCAGAGGAUAGCGGAAUUCCCGGUGUAGUGGUGAAAUGCGUAGAGAUCGGGAAGAACAUCGGUGGCGAAGGCGCUCUACUGGACCACAACUGACACUCAGGGACGAAAGCUAGGGGAGCGAAUGGG
rnacentral:rRNA from 1 species